CCGUCCCCUGGAUGGGGACCUGAUCAGCCAUCCCGCGUGUAUGAUGAAGGCCUUCGGGUUGUAAAGUACUUUUGGCAGAGAAGAAAAGGUAUCCCCUAAUACGGGAUACUGCUGACGGUAUCUGCAGAAUAAGCACCGGCUAACUACGUGCCAGCAGCCGCGGUAAUACGUAGGGUGCAAGCGUUAAUCGGAAUUACUGGGCGUAAAGCGUGUGUAGGCGGUUCGGAAAGAAAGAUGUGAAAUCCCAGGGCUCAACCUUGGAACUGCAUUUUUAACUGCCGAGCUAGAGUAUGUCAGAGGGGGGUAGAAUUCCACGUGUAGCAGUGAAAUGCGUAGAUAUGUGGAGGAAUACCGAUGGCGAAGGCAGCCCCCUGGGAUAAUACUGACGCUCAGACACGAAAGCGUGGGGAGCAAACAGGAUUAGAUACCCCCGUAGUCCA
rnacentral:rRNA from 1 species